rnacentral:rRNA from 1 species
UACGUAGGGCGCAAGCGUUGUCCGGAAUUAUUGGGCGUAAAGAGCUCGUAGGCGGCUUGUCACGUCGGAUGUGAAAGCCCGGGGCUUAACUCCGGGUCUGCAUUCGAUACGGGCUGGCUAGAGUGUGGUAGGGGAGAUCGGAAUUCCUGGUGUAGCGGCGAAAUGCGCAGAUAUCAGGAGGAACACCGGUGGCGAAGGCGGAUCUCUGGGCCAUUACUGACGCUGAGGUGCGAAAGCGUGGGGAGCAAACAGG